GGGGAUUUAGCUCAGCGGCAUAAGUACCCUGCUUUGCAAGCAGGUGGUCGUGAGUUCAAUCCCCG
rnacentral:tRNA from 1 species